rnacentral:rRNA from 1 species
GACANUAANAUGAAGUCUAGAAUGAACNAUUUAAUGGGNGAAAGCUGUCUUAAAUAUAAGUAAUUAUAAGUUUCUUUAGAAGGUGAAAAUUCCUUUAGAGUUUUAAUAGACGAGAAGACCCCGGGAGUUUAAAUAGUUAAAUUAAUAUUUUAAUACUAUUUUGUUGGGGCGACAAUUUAACAAUUAACUUAAAUAAAAAAAACUUUAUAACGAAAUUUUUAAUUUAGUAUAAGCUACCCCGGGGAUAACAGCAUANUUUUUUAAAAGUUUGUGACCUCGAUGUU